AGAGUUUGAUCCUGGCUCAGAUUGAACGCUGGCGGCACGCUUAACACAUGCAAGUCGAACGGCAGCACGGAAUAGAUUUAUCUAUUUGGGUGGCGAGUGGCGGACGGGUGAGUAACGCGUAGGAAUAUGCCUUUAAGACUGGGAUAGCCUUGGGAAACUGAGGGUAAUACCGGAUAAGCUCUACGGAGGAAAGCUGGGGACCUUAUGGCCUGGCGCUUAAAGAAUAGCCUGCGUCUGAUUAGCUAGUUGGUGGGGUAAAGGCCUACCAAGGCGACGAUCGGUAGCUGGUCUGAGAGGACGGACAGCCACACUGGGACUGAGACACGGCCCAGACUCUUACGGGAGGCAGCAGUGGGGAAUAUUGGACAAUGGGGGGAACCCUGAUCCAGCGAUGCCGCGUGUGUGAAGAAGGCCUGAGGGUUGUAAAGCACUUUCGGUGGGGAGGAGAGAUGGCAUGUUAAGAGCUAGCUAUUGAGACGUUACCCACAGAAGAAGCACCGGCUAACUCCGUGCCAGCAGCCGCGGUAAUACGGNGGGUGCGAGCGUUAAUCGGAAUUAUUGGGCGUAAAGGGUGCGUAGGUUGUUGGAUAAGUUAUCUGUAAAAGUCCUGGG
rnacentral:rRNA from 1 species